GAACGGAGCGUCAUAGAGGGUGAGAAUCCCGUCUUUGGCAUGGGAUCCCCCGGGGCUUUUGUGAUGCGCUCUCGAAGAGUCGAGUUGUUUGGGAAUGCAGCUCAAAAUGGGUGGUGAACUCCAUCUAAAGCUAAACAUUGGCGAGAGACCGAUAGCGAACAAGUACCGUGAGGGAAAGAUGAAAAGCACUUUGGAAAGAGAGUGAAACAGUACGUGAAAUUGUUGAAAGGGAAACGCUUGGAGUCAGUCACGUCGACCGAGACUCAGCCUUGCCCCUUUGGGCUUGGUGUACUUCUCGGCCAACGGGCCAGCAUCAAUUUUGUCCCUCAGAUAAUGGCAAGGGAAAGGUGGCACCCUUAUGGGUGUGUUAUAGUCCCCUGUCGCAUGUGAGGGACGGGAUUGAGGAACUCAGCACGCGCCUCUCGGCGUUCGGGGCUUUGGCCCACGCUUACGUGCUUAGGAUGCUGGCAUAAUGGCUCCAAACGACCCGUCUUGAAACACGGACCAAGGAGUCUAACAUGCCUGCGAGUGUUCGGGUGGAAAACCCGUGUGCGAAACGAAAGUGAAAGUUGGGACCUCUGUCGUGGAGGGCACCGACGCCCGGACCAGACCUUCUGUGACGGAUCUGCGGUAGAGCAUGCAUGUUGGGACCCGAAAGAUGGUGAACUAUGCCUGAAUAGGGUGAAGCCAGAGGAAACUCU
rnacentral:rRNA from 1 species